rnacentral:rRNA from 1 species
GGUUGAUCCUGCCAGUAGUCAUAUGCUUGUCUUAAAGAUUAAGCCAUGCAUGUCUAAGUACAAGCUUUUUACGGUGAAACUGCGAAUGGCUCAUUACAACAGUUAUAGUUUAUUUGGUAUUCAUUUUCCAUGGAUAACCGUGCUAAUUGUAGGGCUAAUACACGUUUGAGGUCUUUUGACCGCGUUUAUUAGUUUGAAACCCGCCUUGGCUUUCGGUGAUUCAUAAUAAACUGGCGAAUCGCAUUUAGCGAUGGACCAUUCAAGUUUCUGACCCAUCAGCUUGACGGUAGGGUAUUGGCCUACCGAGGCAGCAACGGGUAACGGGGAAUUAGGGUUCGAUUCCGGAGAGGGAGCCUGAGAGACGGCUACCACAUCUAAGGAAGGCAGCAGGC